GACGAACGCUGGCGGCGUGCUUAACACAUGCAAGUCGAACGGUGAACCAGAGCUUGCUCUGGGGAUCAGUGGCGAACGGGUGAGUAACACGUGGGCAACCUGCCCCAGACUCUGGGAUAACCUCGGGAAACCGAUGCUAAUACCGGAUACGACCACUUCGGACAUCCGACGGUGGUGGAAAGUUUUUCGGUCUGGGAUGGGCCCGCGGCCUAUCAGCUAGUUGGUGGGGUAAUGGCCUACCAAGGCGACGACGGGUAGCCGGCCUGAGAGGGCGACCGGCCACACUGGGACUGAGACACGGCCCAGACUCCUACGGGGGGCAGCAGUGGGGGAUCUUGCACAAUGGGCGAAAGCCUGAUGCAGCGACGCCGCGUGAGCGAAGAAGGCCUUCGGGUUGUAAAGCUCUGUCUGGAGGGACGAACAAAAUGACGGUACCUCCGGAGGAAGCCACGGCUAACUACGUG
rnacentral:rRNA from 1 species